rnacentral:misc_RNA from 1 species
AAAAAAAAAAAAAAAAAGGUGGGAGAGUCAGAUCUGUGAUGUAUUGAUAGAGUUAGGAACUGAAAUUUGUAAUUGAGAGAAAAAGGAUUGAAUCUGUAAUGAUAUUUCUUAGUAAUUGAAUUGGAAAUGGAUUUCUAGUUAUCACUCUUCCUUUUCUUAAUACAAAACUUAAAUGCAUCCGCAAUUCCAAACCAGAGAAACAAACUAACAAAAAGAACUCUAUGGAAUUCCAGGAAGAAUUUUCUUAGCCCAAACAAGAAUGCCGAUAUUGAAUGCCCUUCCCUUCCUAUCUUCUGCCUUCAAAUAUUUUUUUCCUCUCACAUGCUUCUUUGUUGAUUCUGUUACUAUUGCCAGCUUGGUUCACUUUUCCCACCUGUUAUUACCUCAGCAAUUCUUCAAGAGCCUUUUUCCCACAUUCCAGAAACUUCAGCUAGUGCUUCCACCUUCCUUUGCCAUUCUGAAUUUCUUUCUGGCAUAACUUUUAGCUUUUCCUGGCCAUUCUUUGUUUAGUCCACUUGUCCUGCACCAUCCCUAUCAUGCAUUCUAGAUGAUAAAAGAUCUCUGAAUAUGCAUUUUUACAACUUAAUUUGUUGUUUCAGCCAUUCAUCAAUUUGCAGUUAACAUAUUAGUUAAUUACAGAACUAACCUUUUUUUAAAAAAAAAAAA